rnacentral:rRNA from 11 species
CAGAGAGCCCAAAUACUCCAAAGACACCAGAUCCCAUCGGAUUCUGGAAGGUAAGUGGUGUCAAUCCUAAUUAGUACUUAGAUGUGAGACUGCCAACAUAUACCAGAUAUUGUAGGUUAGAUCUGAGA